UUUCGCUUAAUUACAUUCGCAAGCUGUCCUGAUCCUCAUUCCCCUUCCCCAUUGUUUCUGCCCUGUCAGCGGGGUUGACCGGCUGAAAACAGACCACCCGGGCAGCCAGAAGAACUGUGCCUGUCCCGGCAGCCCUGACUCCGGACAGGUGGUGUGGGGUGGUGUGAGGUGGUUGGGGGAUGGGAGAACAGGGAAGCAGGGCCAAGGACAGUAAUAUCCCUGGCCACUCUUCAUAUAUGUAGUCACCAAUGCUCAAAGUCCUCCAUGCCCCCACUUCCAUCCUGCAAAGGAGGAAGCUGAGCUGCCAAGGAGUGGCAGAGCUGAGAGCAGCACCAGCUCCGUCUCUCCCGAACACCACCUUCUUUCUCCCAUGUCUGCCUGCAGGAUUUGAUGAUGAGACAUCGUCUGCUACAGGAUUUGCAGGGAAACAUGGAGCAUCACUUUGGGCCUAUUUUCUAAGAGAAUGGUCUGAAGAGAAUAGAUUCAAGUUUUCUCCCAGAAAAGCCUCUGCUUCAGGAGCAGGGCAUAGCUGGCACCAAGGAAAGGAAGACUCCUAAUAGAAAACACCUGAAGCUGGUGAGCAGCCGCUUCCUGGAACACUCGACUGGUAAGGGGAGAAAUGCCUCAAAUGAGCAUGUGCACAACUUCAGUAAACAUGCUGUGCAUGUGGCCCCUCCCAAGUGCCCGCAGGCCACCACGCAAGUGGACAGCCCUGGACAGCCUGCCCCUAGGGAAGAAUCAAGGGAGGAGAAACAGAAGCCCUGGAACUGUGCUAGUAUAUAAAACCCCAAGUCAAGGGCCGAAUGGCAAACUUGGAUCUCUCAAGUCACCUGCUUGGCCCCCUUCCAAGUGUACUUUACUUCCAUUUGUUCCUGCUCUAAAACUUUUUAAUAAACUUUCACUCCUGCUCUAAAA